rnacentral:lncRNA from 1 species
ACCAAUCAGGCACAUGGCAUGGUGUUUUGAAUAUUAUACUAUUUAACACUCUAUGUCAUGUGAUGACAUUUAACACGUUCACUGAAUCGAACAUAAUCGCGUGUUUUAAAAACAUUAAGGAAUUUUUUUUUUUUUGAAAAUGGGUAUACGGUUGAUUUGAAACUUGAACAUCAAAUCAGACAUGUUUCUUUAGAAAAAAUUUAAGACAAUUUAUUAUUCUUUUUAACAAAAAGUUUAAAUACUAUUUAUAAGUUAAAAGAUCAAAUUUAUUAAUUGUAUUAUAUUUGUAACUUGUAAGGGAGAAUUUAAAGACAGAUAUAUACUAAAGAUCAAAGUUGUUGUAAAAAAAAUAUAAUUAAAAGAGUGUAGUCCACCAGUUUUUUUUUUGAUAAGCGUUUGCUUGUUUAACAAAUGUAUCCUAUAUUAAUAUUUUAUUGUUUCCCGGUUUUCCUGCUCUAAUAUCGGAGAAUUAAUUUUUCUUAUAACGCAGAGAAAUUUUAUAAUCAUUAGCCUGCAAUCGAAAAAACAAAAUUCAUAUAAAAGUGAUUAUUUUAGUGUGGAUAAGCAAUUAGACGGUGCCGUGGUAUGAAGAUAAUGAAAACAAAGAAAGGGCACAUGGACAGAAGAAGUAGGAGGAAUAUAGAUGAGAAGCUUAUCCAAAAUAAUGCGAGGAAGGUUGGAGUUUGGUCUCAAUUUGCUUUCGUGUAGUUACUACUAGGAAGCUGACGUUUCCUUUGACUAUUGUUUUUCUAAGACUACUAAUGUCUGAUAUUCUAUGGAAUAUGUUUAAAUGCAUGCAUGUACUCUGUUGUUGGUGACAAUAACCUUAGUGCUUAGUGGAUGUUAUUU